AUGGAAUAUAUGACACCCCUCCAGAAGAAGAGACGCCACGAAGGAGACCUUCAACCCUGGAGAGAUUGUCAGGCGAAACGACUGUGCAACAGAGUUGGAGUCUGCAUCCAGGUUGAACAUGGCGGGAUGGUGACUGACAGUGCCAUGGAUACAUGGGAUGCCAGCAUGCAACAGCAGAGUGUCCCAAACAGCAACAGCGGUGUCAGCAUCAACCACCCAGCCUCUAACAUGGUAGAUAUGCGUAUUCAACUAUUUUGGGAUCUUUGUUGCUACAGUCAAGGCCAAAGGAGUUAGCCUCCCACAUGCAUUGCAGGAGUGUUUUUAUGGUCCAUGUUUUCCUCCUAAAUGAUGAUGCUGUAGUAGUAAUAAAUGUUCAUAGGUCAAGCAGUAAGAGAUACUAGGCGUACCCAUGACCCCAUGCUUCCUCAACAUCUUAUCUCUAAGUUGUAGCCUUAGCUAUCUUUAUGACAGUUUCUCUCAAUGUUGGUGAUGUCAAGGAAGCAAUAACUGUUUGGGAAAUUGCAUCUCAUCCUCAAAUGUUUUAUUGCAGAACUACAAUAUGACAAUCCAUUAAAUAAUCAAGUGAAAUUCUUGCCGUAAUAACCCUCCAGGCUCGUGUUUUCUCUUGUACAGGUCUAUGCAGUCCAAGGCAGCCAACGUUGUAAUCGGUGCCUGGCAGGGGAGCCUGUAAGUAGUGUCCUGAUUCUGAUUUUUGCCUGAACAUAUCCCAGUAGUGUGGAUGACUGAUAUCAUAUGUCAGUGUGUAGGCCAAACUCAGCAUUUUGUAGAAGUCAUCCAGAAACACCAAAACAAUGGGAUUUAACAGCUAUAGCACAUAUUAACAAACAUUCCUUAUGUUAAUAUGGGAUAUUAUGUCUCUUACUUUGGGGAUAAUUGUUGCACCUACAAAAUCAACAUAAUAAAAGAUGCCCGUUUUAGAAGGGUUGACUAAAGAACCUACCAUAUUGACCAUGGAGCGCUUUGCUCUUCAUGCUCACCUUGGGCCGAGUCAGCAUUCUGGACUUUCUAAUGUGAAAAGGGUUAAUCAGUCCCUCCAGGUUUCUGCAAUGACUUUUUGUUGUUGUUGCUAAAUCAACAAUUCCCUGCAUAUUAUGCGAGGGCUUGUAAAUUUGAGCAAUCACUGCACUCUUUCCACGUGCAACGGUCAAAUCAUCGCAAUAUUGUCACAUAAACCAGGCCCAUCACCGCAGUACAAAAAUAGGGCUUGCAAUUUCAACCAAUCUGAGUACAUUUACUGCAUAAUAUAGUUAAAUGAAGCCACACAUCAACAAAUCCCCCCCCCAGCACAGUUUCACAACAAAUUGGACUAAAUCAGAGCAUAUUGCCAUGCAAAAUGUCAAGGUUGCCGCAGCAAAAUCAAGCUGUUUGCCCUGCAAAAAAUCCCAUCAAAAUGCUGGAGGGACUGGUUAAUGAACAUGACAUGGGUUUCAGUCCCAAAUGGCACCCUAUUCCCUAUAUGGUGCACUACCCUAUUCCCCACAUAGUGCACUAUAUAGUGGAGAGGGUGCUAUUUUGGGAUGCUACCAUCAUGUAAAGGGUUUGUUCCAUAAAGAUUACCUGUGUCACAUAAUGAGUCUCUUCUCAGGGGCACAUUAACCACAUCAUGGGGUAUUGAUUGGUUAUCGUCAUGAUCAGAGAUCGUUUGAAGAACUGAAGGGUCCUUGAGGAUGAAGAGAUUGAUUGAUUGAUUGAUUGCUUGAUCAAGCCAUUGUGUAUGUGGCUGUGAACGUUUUAUCAGUGUGCCUUGCCUUUUCUUGCUUUUAACCACAAGCACUGUAUUGCUUCAUGUAUAGCCUCACAUGUUUACACUACCUAACACUGGUAUGGGGAAAAUGGCUACUAACCAGACAGUAGACAUGAUCAUUUCAUACUGUCUUACUAACAUUCUGUUUGAAUGGAAAGAUAACCACUACAGUGUAGUCUACAUACAACCAAAAGGAAUGAGCCAUCAAGCCACCAUUAAUACUGUAACUUUAUAAUGUAAUGUGGAUACUCAUUUAAAGUCAAUGGAUCUAUUCAAAAAAAUGACUUAUUGUCCCAGUAUCAAGACUGCUUCUAAAGCUGCCAGAAAAUAUACAUGUAAAUAAUAAUAUUGAAAAGUAAAAACUUUUAAAAGUUAUAUCAUUAUUAACCUUUUUGAAAUGGAUAAUCCUGUCUGCAAAUAUAUUUUUGUGAAAUACAUAUUUUAUAUAUUUUUCUAAAAUGUAAUUGGCUGAAUAUAAAAUAAGAAGUUUGUAACAAUAUUUGUGCUAAUCGUUUAAUUUUGGAUAGUGUCCUGAAUUUAGUGUUAAUCUCAUGGACAUUUUCAGCCAGUUUUAAAUAGUUUGAUCUACACUUGAAAUGUAGGGCUGUUUGACAAUGAUUUGUCUAUUUCCCACUAGAUUUGGUUUUGUGUUGUCUUACAAUGAUUUGAAGCCAGUUUCCACCUUGCCAAGCAGUGAUUUUUAUGCAAGGAAUAGACAAUAGUUGAUGCUGUUAAAUUUCAGGUUAUGACUCAAUGUAAUAGUUUAUUUUUAGUACAAGAAAAGCAACUUUCAAUAAAGUAUGAUUUGAUGAACAAUGUGUGGACAUUUAGAUGUGUUUUUGUGACUACUGUUUCUUCGUUGUUAUUCAAUACCUUUUUUAUAUGAAGCUUAUUUCCACAUGUCAUCUAUUCAUGGGCUUCUGCUGCCUGCUGUACAUUGUGUGGAUCUUUACCCUACGACAGUCUGGUAUGUUUACUAGUGAAUUAUAUGUGAACAGCAUUUAUUCUGUUACAUUUGUCUCUCUUGUUUGAGGAUAUGUUUUGUUCCAUAUUACUGCUAGCUGUGUUUGGUUCACAUGUCUCAUGUCAGGAGGUAGCAUAUACUGUAGCUAUCAUCCCUAUUCUUAUCCAUGGACUUUAACUAGAUCACACAUUUUCAGGCCACUUCUCUAUUCCAGUAUUUUUCAACUCCCCUGCCUUCUAGAACGUUAGCAUGCGCCGUAUCCUAUCCUUCUAGAAUGUUAGCAUGCGCCGUAUCCUAUCCUUCUAGAAUGUUAGCAUGCGCCGUAUCCUAUCCUUCUAGAACGUUAGCGUAGUCCGUAUCCUAUCCUUUAGAACGUUAGCGUUGUCUGUAUCCUAUCCUUCUAGAACGUUAGCGUAGUUUGUAUCCUAUCCUUCUAGAAUGUUAGCAUGCUCCGUAUCCUAUCCUUCUAGAACGUUAGCAUCCUCCGUAUCCUAUCCUUUAGAACGUUAGCGUUGUCUGUAUCCUAUCCCUCUAGAACGUUAGCGUAGUUUGUAUCCUAUCCUUCUAGAACAUUAGCAUAGUCUGUAUCCUAUCCUUCUAGAACGUUAGCAUCCUCCGUAUCCUAUCCUUUAGAACGUUAGCAUUCUCUUUUGGGUGUUGUAUCUUACCCUUUAUGAUAGUUUCCAGUCCACCUCAUAUGAUACGAAGUGAUUGGCAGUUAUAAUGCCAUGAUGAAUGAUAUAUUCAUAGAUAUCAGGGUAUCAACAUUAUGGCUCAACAGAUGCAAUAGGGGAGGGCUAAAGUUUUGAGGAAAGUCAACCAGGAUGGAUUAAUGAGUAUUACCCUUACAAUCUCCCCUGUCCU
rnacentral:lncRNA from 8 species